GUCUGCAGCCAUAGGCACCCUGAACGCGCCCGAUCUCGCCUGCUCUCGGAAGCUAAGCAGGGUCCGGCCUGGUUAGUACUUAGAUGGGGGGACUGCUGCCC
ensembl:rRNA 5S_rRNA 5S ribosomal RNA